rnacentral:rRNA from 1 species
UCUGACGUANGGCACGAAGGCGUGGGAAGCGACCCGGAUUAAAUACCCGGNUAGUCCACGCCGUAAACUAUGAAUGCUAGCUGUUGAAGGUAUCGACCCCUCCAGUAGCGAAGCUAACGCGUUAAGCAUCCCGCCUGUGGAGUACGGUCGCAAGACUAAAACAUAAAGGAAUUGACGGGGACCCGCACAAGCGGUGGAUCAUGUUCUUUAAUUCGAUGAUAAACGAAGAACCUUACCAGGGUUUGACAUCCCGAGAAUUAACCCGAAAGGGUUGAGUGCUUUAUUGAACUCGGUGACAGAUGUUGCAUGGCCGUCGUCAGCUCGUGUCGUGAGAUGUUUGGUUAAGUCCAUUAACGAGCGCAACCCUUGUCAGUAGUUGUAUUUUUCUACUGAGACUGCCCCGGCAACGGGGAGGAAGGAGGGGAUGAUGUCAGGUCAGUAUUACUCUUACAUCCUGGGCUAGAAACGUGAUACAAUGGCUGGUACAAUGCGCAGCGAAGCCGCGAGGUGAAGCAAAUCGCAUCAAAGCCAGUCCCAGUUCGGAUUGGAGGCUGAAACUCGCCUCCAUGAAGUCGGAAUCGCUAGUAAUCGCAGGUCAGCAAACUGCGGUGAAUACGUUCCCGGGUCUUGUACACACCGCCCGUCAAGCCAUGAAAGUGACCAACACCCGAAGUCCGAUUCGUCGGCCUAAGGUGGGGGGCAUGAUUGGGGUUAAGUCGUAACAAGGUAACC